AUGAAGAACGUAGCGAAAUGCGAUAAUUAAUGUGAAUUGCAGAAUUCCGUGAAUCAUCGAGUCUUUGAACGCACAUUGCGCCUCAUGGCAUUCCGUGAGGCAUGCCCAUCUCAGCGUUAGAAAAUAUUCUCAAAUUUUAGUUUUGUGCUAAAAUUUGGAUCAUGUCAAGGAAGCUAUUACUAUUAUUGUGAUCGCUCUUUGGAAAUUGAUAGGUCUUUGAGUUGCUACUCAUAGAACGUGAUGAAUCUUUCUUCGUUCUAUUGUAAUUCACUCUGGUAGUCCUAAAACUUGUAUGCCUGUGGCAUAUCUUGUAAUUUGACCUGAGAUUGGGUAGGGAUACCCGCUGAACUUAAGCAUAUCAAUAAGCGGAGGA
rnacentral:misc_RNA from 1 species